rnacentral:rRNA from 1 species
GAUGAACGCUGGCGGCGUGCCUAAUACAUGCAAGUCGAGCGAAAAGACGAGGAGCUUGCUCCUCUGACGUUAGCGGCGGACGGGUGAGUAACACGUGUAUAACCUACCUAUAAGACUGGGAUAAUUUCGGGAAACCGGAUCUAAUACCGGAUAAUAUAUUGCACCGCAUGGUUCAAUAGUGAGAGUCGGUUUUUCGGUCACUAAUAGAUGGAUCCGCGCCGCAUGAGCUAGUUGGUAAGGUCACUGCUUACCAAGGCAAGGAGGCGUAGACGACCUGAGAGGGUGAUCGGCCACACGGGAAGUGAGACGGCGUCCAGACUCCUACGGUAGGCCGCAGUCGGGAAUCUUACGCAAUGGGCGAGAGCCUGACGGAGCAACGCCGCGUGAGUGAUGAAGGUCUUCGGAUCGUAAAGCUCUGUUAUUAGUGGAGAACAAAUGUGUAAGUAACUGUGCACGUCUUGACGGUACCGGGUCAAAAAGCCCCGGCUAACUACGUG